UACGUAGGGUGCAAGCGUUAAUCGGAAUUACUGGGCGUAAAGCGCACGUAGGCGGCUUUGUAAGUUAGAGGUGAAAGCCCGGGGCUCAACUCCGGAAUUGCCUUUAAGACUGCAUCGCUAGAAUUGUGGAGAGGUAAGUGGAAUUCCGAGUGUAGAGGUGAAAUUCGUAGAUAUUCGGAAGAACACCGGUGGCGAAGGCGGGUCUCUGGGCAGUAACUGACGCUGAGGAGCGAAAGCGUGGGGAGCGAACAGG
rnacentral:rRNA from 1 species